rnacentral:rRNA from 1 species
GGGAGGUAGUGACAAUAAAUAACAAUACAGGGUUCUUUAGGAUCUUGUAAUUGGAAUGAGUACAAUUUAAAUCUCUUAACGAGGAACAAUUGGAGGGCAAGUCUGGUGCCAGCAGCCGCGGUAAUUCCAGCUCCAAUAGCGUAUAUUAAAGUUGUUGCAGUUAAAAAGCUCGUAGUUGAAUUUCGGAACCGAUGGAUCGGUCACGCCAUUCGGUGUGUACUGGUUUGAUUGGUUCUCACCUUCUAAGGAACCGUGAUGUCAUUAAUUUGGUGUCGCGGGAAAUUAGGACUGUUACCUUGAAAAAAUUAGAGUGUUUAAAGCAAGCUCACGCUUGAAUACAUUAGCAUGGAAUAAUGAAAUAGGACAUUGUAUUCUAUUUUGUUGGUUUCUAGGAUCGAUGUAAUGAUUAAUAGGGAUAGUUGGG